AAUGAGCAGGCAUUGUGGGCUUUCAGAAGGAGGAGGCAGGAAGACGUGGAGAGCGACUGAGGUCGGCCGUGGAGGAUGUGCUGGGCAGGCGAAGAGAACAAAGUCUGGCAGAGCAAGUGUUCCUCACUGGGUUCUGGCCGCGCCUGGACAUCAAAACGAUGGUCACAUACACGAGUGUCUCAUCCCACCUCUGUCUUCUAAACAUUUUUAUAUCGGAAGUUCCCAGUCAAUAAAUUCUAGCACGCUUCCUAAGAAGGGAUACCAGCCGGCAGCCAGGGAGAUGGCUUGCUUGGUGGUUAAGACGGCCAGAGUUGAGUCUCCAGUGUCCACAUCAGAUGAUUUACAAGCCAGUAUCUCCAGUUCCACGGACUCCCUGCCCUCUUACCACCCACGUUGUGGCUCAGUACUUUCUCUGACUCCAGUUCCGUGGGAUCCAGCGUCCUCUUCUGGCCUCUUCAGUGCCCCACCCCCACCCCACCAAACCGGAACCACCACCACCCGCAGUCUCAGAACUUCAAAGAGAACUGUUACAAUUUCUCUCCCAUCACUGCUUGGGAAGCCAACUGCGGAACAGGAGGCAACAAUCUAUUUUGCCUAAGUUCUUUUCCUAUAUAUGUGUGCUCUCAGCAUCUGCUCCAGCUGCUGUGUCUUCUGCUUGCUACACUGUGUCCCUGCCAUGAUGGUUGUCUCGCUAACUCUCUGGAAACACAGCCCAAAUAAACUCUUAUGUAAGUUGCCUUU